CUGAUCACGUGACACAUCCCUACCAGAAACAAGCGCUUGGCCCUCGCCAGUGCUUUGAAGGCACAGACAGACUCUCCACCCCAGCACACAAGCCUUGAAGCUGGGCUCCCAGGCUCCCAACUUUUGGACAUGGAGGCAUUUGUCUUUUCCUACCCUUUUACCAUUUUCUUCUUCCUCAGUUUACCCCAGGGUCCCCCCAAGAUGUCACUGAGCCUCUGGCACAGGGAGAAGGUCAUUUUUACCAGAGUCCCCAGCUCUUACUGGCAAUACCCUCACUCGAGUGUAAGCUCCGUGGGGCAGGACUUUGUCUUGUCCACUAUGCUGGGCACACACACAGCUGUUUAAUGCGCACAUGUGCGUGAACGGCCCUCCACCUUGUCGACCGUCUCUGUAGAGGCGACCCUGGGAGAUGCGAGAUGGCUUUAGCGCUCUUGAUCAGCUCCUGGUCUGUCUGGUUCUUUCCCCUGUGAUCUCCUGGGGGCAGAGAGCAUGAUCCCUUCACCUGCCCCGCCCCCAGCCCAGAGCUGUGCUCCCUGGGCUUGUAUUUUGAACAAAUGAAGGAGUAGCAGCUACUGUGUCAGAGGAGCCCACAGGCCCAACAUGCCAUUCCUGUGCACUGCCCAGAACCCCCAACCGCGGGGGCCAGUCUGAGACCUGGGGACCUGCCGCUCUGCCCCAUUUGAUUUUCCAUUGGUCCUGCCCCAGCCCUCCUGUCCCACCUUUUCUGAAAGCGAAAAUCUCAACUGAGUUGAAAGUGAAUUGUGGCCAGCUGGGUCGUGAAGGGAUGGAGACCCACUCUCCUACUAGGAAGAAUGUGUGUUUGCCUUUUGGCAGAGAGGAUAUUCCGACUGGUCAUUUUUUGCUCCGCCCCAGCUCUGGACGGAACUCCAGCCCCAGGCCCCACCCUGCAAGACAGAGAAGAAUGGUUUUAGGGGUGAGACGUCACCUUUCAAAUCCCUUCUCAAAGGCCACCUGCUCCUGGAGGUCCUUCUGGGUCCCCUGGGGAAAACCGCUGAGGGCUCUGGGCUCCCCCAGGGCAUCACUUCCUCCUGCCCCGUCAUGUGUGACCCUGUGCUUGUACAGUCUGAUGGCCCUGUACCCACGAGUGUUCCUUCAGGAGGGGAUUAUGAGCUCUUCCUUUUUAUGUCCACCUGUUCCUUUAACCAGCCAGGCUUUUAUUCUCUGCCCCGUCCUGGGCUAGGCACUGGGCACACAGAGUUGAGUUAAAUGUGUGCCCUCCAGCGGCUGACGAUCUAGUGGGGGUCGGACGAUCACCCCUCACCACGCAGCAUGAUCAGAGCUCUAAGGGUGCCAGCACCGGGCUGUGACAGCAGAGAAAGCCCCUGACCAGCCCAGAAGGACACGCAGGUUGGGAAAUAAUUCUUAGAGGAAGUUGACAUCUGAGUGGGGUUUUCGAGGAUGGAUAAGAGUCUGUGGAGCCGUAAAGAAGGGAAAGUGGUGUUCAGUCUGGCUGACUACAGCAGCCCUGGACAGCCCCAUCACGUGAAGGGGCCCAUAAAGCACGCUAAGACAUUUCUUCUUUUUCUUGUUUACCUUUCCAAGGUACCAAAGAAGGGUUAAGCCAAUGUGUGAGACACAGAAGGUGUUGAGAAAGCAGAUGUGUGCUGUCCAUUCAGUUGGAUUUCUCCCUGCUGCCUCCUAACCCCCAUGAGAUUAGAAGCUUCUGGAUGCCAAGGUCCAGACACUUGUGUGUAUUGGUGUGCAUCCCCAGAGCGAUGAACACAGUCAUGACACUUCACAGACACUCACUCAAUAUUUGCCUUGACCAACAAUUGCACGAUGCAUUGGGUUUGGCCAAGCACCCAUGACAUUGGGUAAUUUUACCUGCCCCACGCUUGCCAACGUGCUAGGCAUUCUGUAUGUGCUACUCACCUGAUGUCAUUGGUCACCAGUAACAACACAACAAGAUUGAUAUGCCACCUCUAUUUUGCAGGUGAAGAAACUGAGGGUCAGGGGGCAACUGGCAGGUCUAUCUGACUGUGUGACUCUAAACUUCCACAUCGGUUCCCAUUUCACAGGUUAGACAAACUGAGCUCACCUCCCUUGCCUAGGUCGAGAACUGAAUUCAGAAAAAAAGCCCCGAAGCAUGACUUGUUUGACUUGGCAGAGUGUCCAGCUCAAGAGAGUUGGGUACGCACGCAUUUCAUCACUUGCGACCCUUUCAUGGCGAAUCCUCCGGGGACCCAGCAGCUGACCAGCUCCAGCCGUUCGGGCUUGCUGAGGCCAAGCGGGCUCUGUCAGCCUCUGUCUGCCAAGGUCCUGGCCACCAGGGAGGGCCUGGCACCCUCUUGCCCACCCCCUGUGCAGCCCUGACUUGGGGAAGACAACCUCCCAGCAAACUGCCUGAAGCCCAAGAGGUGAGAUUAAAGGCAUCCAAGUAGGUCCCCACCUCACCUGGAUCUACGAGGCCACAGGGCUGAGACUUGCCCUUGUCACAGUCCUGUCACCUAUGCCUCAGUUUCCACACCAAUGGAAGGAAAAAACCACACGGACCUUCCUGGACGUUGGGAGGAUGAAGGGAAAUAGCAACAUCGACCAGCCCAGCUGCAUCAGAGACUCCUGAGGGCACCUUAAAAUGCAGGUUCCAAGGCCGGUCCUGCCAUCUGAUCCUGGGGCCCAGGGAGCUGUAUAUCUAAUGGACUCUGCAGCCACCGUGCACCCUGAAGACUCUUGCUCCAAACUCAAACCCCACGAAGAUCAAAAGAUCCCUGAAUUCAGGCUCCAAAGAGACACAGACGUUAUUGCAACAUCCUGACCCAUCUCGGACAUGAAUUCCAUUAAAGUUCCAUGAAAGAUAUCCCCAUCCUACAGAUGAGGAAACUGAGGCCCCUGAUGGUUAAAUAACUUGUCUGCAGUCGCACAGAAAGUGGCAGAGCUGAGUUGAUCCAUGAUCCAUCUGCCUCCCAAGAUCUUCGUAAGACACAACACCUCAUCCCAGGGAGCAAGUUGCUGAAGGUAUGUCAGAGACCAAGGCCUUCUCUCAGAGGUAGAACUUCCAGACUGGUGCGUACUUCCAAUUCAUGCAAAUCCAAGCAGGUUUCACUAUACACAGAAAACUCAUGUCACUGUGAGUCAAAAAUUCCCUUGAAAUUUGCCAUGUUGAACCCUCUUGCAAUGGAAACUGGUUUUCCCCCUAGUUUUGACCCCCAAACAGGACAAACCCUGUGUUCAGCCAGCUUUCACUGUUUAGAAAUUUACACUGAACAUCCAUGGAAAGGCCAUCUCCUGGAAGCUCUCAGGAAGUGGACAAACCUUGUGAAUUCAAAUAGGUGAAUUCAGCUAUGGGCACAAAAAAAUUCCAUAUUCUUUCUCUUUGAGUGUUGAUCCAAAAUCAGGUGACUUGGGGAAUACAUUUGUCUUAUAUUCGUCACAGUAUUGAAGAGACCCUAGAAAAAAAAAUGAACACACUCAUUAAGAACUGAUUACCAUUUUCAUUCAUUGAAAGAUAUCCUCCAACAGACCCACAGGGUCACGCAGGAAUGGAAGGGGGCUUUGAUGUGCUUAGUUGCGCUCAUACGUAUUGCAGGAGGGGACGCCGAGACACACGAAGGAUUCACUCCAGGGGCUCUUUGGAGCGUGCCACAACAGACCCCCAACUCCCAGGACAGUGCUUUUUUGCAUUCUGGAGCAAGGCUACUCUCAUCUGAAUACACCUUAAUGUAUGCUUAUCGGAAUCUGUUGUGGCCCAAAGCACUAAAUAUAACGGCCAGUUAGUGUCUCCAGUUGAAGGGAAAGAGGGGAGAUGGAGGCAAGUGUUGAGCAGGCCCCUUUUCACAGUAAGUUCAAGGAUAUCUCAUAGAAAAAUGAUGCUAAAAAGGGCCUCAGAGGGCAUCCAGUCAGACUCCCACCCACUUACCCUGCAGGUGGAAAGACUGAGAUCAAGAACCGUAAAGCUCCUUGAGCAGAUACGUUGUCAUGGUCAAAUACCAGGUGCCCUCAAAACUAGAACUGACCGCCUUCUAACCACCCUCCUGAUUAAGGAAAUAUUCAUGAAGAUAGACACAAAGGAGACAAUAGAGAGAGAAAGGGAAGAACAGAAUCGAUACACAGAAAACCAGAUCAGUGCAGUGGAGUAUUGGCUGGAGAAAUCCUGCCACCACCCAGGAUAAAGGACCGAUAGCCAGCAUGAUGAGCAAAUUGAUGAUAUAAGGCAAGAAAACUCUACCGUAGUGACACAACAUCUACAAAACAGGAAGUCCAGAGAGUCCAGGUCAGACAGGCAGUCAGCACUGACUUAAGGAUUAACAGAAAAACAAUUUCCCUGAGAUGAAGAAAAUCUCUCUUUGUGUUGAGGUUUCAUGUUUUAAGUACUAGACAAAAUUAAGGUGCCUAAUGCCUUAGUGAUUUAUUUUUCUUAAUCUAAAGGAUGAAAAGAAAAAAUUCCACACUAGGGUAAAAAAAUGAUUCAGCAUCAGACCUUUCCUCCACAUUCCCAAAAGACAGAACCCAGUGGAGCCUUCUCCAUGGAACAGGAGAAACAGUGACCCAAUAAUCUAUCCCUGCGAAGAAGCUGCUCAUUGAUGAAGCUAAGAAAAGGAAUUUUCAAAAGACAAGGACUUUGAAAGUAUACCCUUCACUUGCCCUUGAGGAAUUAAACAGUGACCUUCAAAGAAGUUCUCUAGACAAGUAAAAACUCUAUCAAAAUACACAAAAACCAAAAAGAGUAUUGAUGUUAAAGAUAUAUAAUAUACAUUUAACCUCGCUAAUAAACAAGGAAAUGUAAGUUAAAAUAAAUGAGGCAUCAUGUUUGCCUAUUGAUAUGUUAAUUAUUUGUUUGAUUUAAGUUCAUAGUUGCUUAUCUGACAUUCCUGAAGUCAGAUGUGUCUGUAAACUUAGAAAUUUUCAGAUUCUAGAAAGGAAUGUUAGUGCACAUGGGGAACGUUGGCAACCAUCCCACUAGGGUCUGAAUGUUGGUGUCACACAGAGCACCCUAGUCCCCUCCUCCAUGUGAGGACACAGUGAGAAGUCUGCAUCUGGUAAGAUGGCCUUCACCCAACCCUGCUGGCACCCUGAUCUCAGACUUCCAGGCUCCAGAACUGUAAAAAUAAACAUUUGUUGUUUUUAGGUCACCCAGUCUGUGCUAUUUGUUAUAGCAGCCCAAAUGGACUAAAACACCCCCCUCACCCUGAAAUAUGUGAAGUAGCACACCCAAAUCCAACACUGAGAUAGUUCUAAGGCAAAACAUGAAUAUUCACACUACAUGAGAUAAAAUAGAGGCAAUAAAUAUCUCCAUGUCAACUGAGGUCAGAUUCAUCCACCAAAUAAAUGAUGAAACAAUUUUCAUUUUCAGAAAAUUUUGGAUCUCAGAAUUACAGAUAAAGACUUGAAACCUGUAAAUAAUACCUAGGUUUGAUAAGGUAGCUGGAAAAAGAUGCUUUCUUGCUUCAUGAAUGGAAGUUUAUAUUCAUAAAACCUUUUCUGGAUUUUAAUUUGGAAUGUUUCAAAGCCUAAAAUAUUAAGUAAAUGUUCUUUGUUCUAGAAAUCUGCUGCUAGAUAUUGAUCCUAAGGAAAUCAUCAGAAAUGGGUAGAAAGUCUCCACUUUAGGAAGUUCAACCUAGAAUUGUUCAAGGUGUCAAAAACAGAGAUGGUUAGAUAAAUCAUGGCACAUCUUAAAAAGGAAAACUUGAUAGGCAUUAAAAAUGACAUGAUGCAAGAAUGUUCAAUUAUGUAGAAAGCUGAUGACAGAAUAAUAAGUGAAAAAAAUUACAAAUCAAUUUAUUCUGUAUAAUGCCAUUUUAUUAAAAAAAAGAAAAGAAAGAUUGGACUUUCCUGGUGGCACAGUGGUUAAGAAUCCUCCUGCCAAUGCAGGGGACACAGGUUCAAUCCCUGGUCUGGGAAGAUCCCACACGCUGUGGAGCAACUAAACCCGUGCGCCACAACUACUGAGCCCACACACCACAACUACUGAAGCCUGCGUGCCUAGAGCCAGCGUUCCGCAGCAAGAGAAACCACCUCAAUGAGAAGACCACACACCGCAUUGAAGAGUAGCCCCUGCUCACCGCAACUGGAGAAAGUCCAUGCAGCAACGAAUACCCAAAGCAGCCAAAAAAAAAAAAGACAGAGAGAAAUAUAUGCAGAAUGUGAGUACAUACACAGAAAAGAAAGACUGGAAAGGUAUAUAACCAAAGAUUGAAGAUAGUGGUCAUCUCUGGAUAGUGUGAGUUUUUUUAAUGAUUGUGUUCUUCUUUUUGCGAAUCUCUACCUUCUAAAGUUUCUAUAAUUAACAUGCUAAUUUUUAUAAUAUAAAAAUAAUUAUGAAAAAUAAACAAAAUGCCUUUUUUUUGUACAAAAAUGAAGUGAUCUGAUUAAGAAAAUAUAGGACUACAUUGGCAACAUGCCAAACACAGACAAGAUAUACAAUGUGUGCUCGUACAAGGGAGGGAAUUAAUAUAGUCUGGAUGGUAGAUUUAUUUAAUAUUAGCAUUGGAGAGGAAACUACCAAAGCUCCAUUUACAGCUGGGAAACUGAGGCCUAGAAAGGAGGAGGAAGGUGGGACUUGACCUGAGGCAGCCUGAGUCUAGAAACUCCUACAAUGACCCAUACCUGACUGUGUUUUUUGUGACUUCUCCUCCUAAGUUCUAUCUUCGAGAAAUUGGCUGAGCUCAGGUGUGAGUACCAGGACUGUUCAAAUGGUAAAAUUCACCAUAAAGUGGAAAAAUUGAUAAGAAAACAUGAGGGUUCAUUGUCUAGUUUCCUUUUGCUGCCCAAAUUACACAUGCAAAUAUAGACUUUGGAAUUUCAUCUGAGCUGAGGAGAUGUUGUCGUCUUUCCCUAAAGGACAAGGAAAAGAUCACCUUUGAAGAAACCAGACAGGGGCCCCAUAGCCAAGAGGACAGAAAUCUCCAUCACAGUUUCUGCAAAUCUAGUUCCUUCCACAUGACAUAAAAGGUAGACUUGACUUCAGUGCAACAUUGAAACCCAAAACUUUGUCACUGAGGCAUAAAAGAUAUUAAUUUUGGUAGAAAAAGAUAUUUAUUCUUCAUCACUGGUUCAACAAAGGGCUGUUUUCUCAGGUUAAAAAUAUAUGUCCUCUCCUCCUCAAUCAUGUGAUUCAUGCUAGUGAUAAAUUACCAUCCCUCAUAUACUGUCCUUUGAUUACUCAUGAUCACCCCUGCUUCCAGGAUGGAGAAUCAACCCCAUUAGCUCCUGCCUCAGUGAAUGACUGGGCACAGGACAGAUUCCUCUAUGUUCUUAUAAAAUAUUCCACACAAAAGAAAUCAUUCUAGGGACUUCCCUGGCAGUCCCGUGGUUAAGACUCCAUGCCUCCAAUGAAAGGGGUGCAAGUUUGAUCCCUGGUUGGGGAACUAAGAUCUUACGUGCCACCCAGCCAAAAAAUUUUUUUUUAAAAAAUUAAUUAAUUAAUUUAAUUUAAUUAAUAAUCAUGAGAUUCCUUGAAAAAAAGAAAAGAAAUCAUUCUAAAUCUUGCCACUCCCACCACACAUCCCCUUAUAGCUCUAAGGAGAAGUGGAAAGGGAAUUGUCGGCAGAUUUGUGGAGACUUUGAGACUGUCCUUCAGUUUGCAGAGGCAAAAACAAUGUCUUUCCAGACACACAAAAGUGGAAAGAAUUCAUCACCAGCAGACCUGCACUAGAAGAACUGUUAGAAGUUCUUUGCACAGAAGGAAAAUGAUACUAAGUGAAAACCUGGAUUUACACAAAAGAAUGAAGAGCGCCAGAAGUGGUAACUCCAUGCGUGACUCUAAAGGUGAUUUUCUUGUUAUUCAAAACUCUUUGAAAGAUAACCAACUAUUUGGUUGACCAAAAAGUUCGUUCAUGUUUUUCCAUAAGAUGUUACAGAAAAACCCUAAUGAACUUUUUGGCCAACCCAAUACUUGAAGGAAAGGUAAAAGCAAUGUACUGUGGGGUUGGUUUAUAGCACAUGUAGAAAUAAAACAUGUGACAAUAGCACAAGGUCAAGAGAGAGGAAAUAGAAGUGUACUGUUAUAAGGUUCUUAUACUAUACAUUAAAUUAAAGAUGCAUAUUAAAAACCCUAAAGAAACCACUAAAAUAACUCAAGAAAAAAGUAGGCUAACAAACCAAUCAAUGAGAUAAAAUAGAAUCAUAAUAAAAAUAUUCAACACAAAGGAAGGCAGAAGAGGGGGAGAAGUUCACAGAACAGAUGAGACAAACAGGAAACCAAUAGGAAGAUGGUAGAUUUAAACCAUAGCAAUAAUAGCUUCAAAAUUAAUGAUCUAAGCAUGACAAUUAAAAGGCAGAUUUUGUCAGAUUGGAUUAAAAAUAAACAAAACAAGACCCAACACUAUGCUACCUACAAAAAAACUCACUUUAAAUAUAAAAACCCUAACACCAAACAAAAGAAAGUGGGUGUGGCUACAUUAAUAUCAGACAAAGUAGAUUUCAGAGCAAAGAAUAACAAAAAGAUAACAAAGGGCAUUUCAUAGUGAAAAGGGUUAAUUCAUCAAAAAGACAUUCCAUUCCUAAAUGUUUAUACAGUUAGUAACAAAACCUCAAAUUAUGUGGAGCAAAACUGUUAGAACUGCAUGGAAAGAAAGACAGAUUCACAAAUUUAGUUGAAGUUUUCAAUAUCCCCUUUUCCAUCAUUGACUGAACAAGCAGACAGAAAAUCAUUAAUAGUACUUGAGCACUAUCAACCAACUUGACCUAAUUGACAUUUGUAGAGCACUUCACCCAACAGCAGUGGAAUACAUAUUCUUUUCAAGUGCUCAUGAAAUAGUCCCCAAAAUAGAGCAUAUUCUGGACCACAAAACAAGUCUCAAUAAUUCAAGUCAUACAAAGUAUGUUCACUGACCACUAAGGAAUUAAAUUGAACAUCAAUAACACAAAGAUAUCUAGAGAAUCUACAAGAAUUUUGGAACUAAAUAACUCAUGGGUCAAAGGAGAAAUCAGAAGGAAAAUUAGAAAGUAGUUUGAACUAAAUGAAAACGAAAAUAAUCAAAAUUUAUAGAAUGUUGCUAAUGUAUCAUGGUAAAAUGCAUAGCUUUAAAUGCUAUAUUAGAAAAGAUGAAAGAAAGGUCUCAAAUCAGUGAUUGCUUCCACCUUAAAAAGCUAGCUAGGGCUUCCCUGGUGCCGCAGUGGUUGAGAGCCUGCCUGCCUAUGCAGGGGACACGGGUUCGUGCCCCGGUCCGGGAAGAUCCCACAUGCUGCGGAGCGGCUGGGCCCGUGAGCCAUGGCCGCUGAGCCUGUGCUCCACAACAGGAGAGGCCACAACAGUGAGAGGCCCACAUACCGCAAAAACAAAAACAAAAAAAA